CCUUAAUCACUGGUGUGAGCGGCGGAAGGGAUGGCGACGACGAAGAUUGAUUAUAGUAGUUCUUAAUUAUGAGAUCCAGUCGACAGGUUCCGGUUGCCAGAUCUCGGAGAUGUUGAGUGCACGGCGGAAGGUCUGCCGGAGCCAAAUCUGUUGGACACGGCUGCCGAGUCCAUGGGCGACACGCCGCCGGCACUCCAUGUAGACCUGAACAGCACCUGCGAUGGCUUGAGUUUGUCGGCUCCCGACUCGGAGCAGUCAACGGGCAAAGACAACCGUCAAGCGCCUGGAUAGAAGAAGAGGUAACUCAACUCAUAUGGUGUCCGUGCAGUACAGUUGACACAACGUUGGUGUGAGGGCAGAGUGCGGUUCGUACAACUGAAAAUGUUGUCAUUGCUGCUCGGUUCGUGUUGGCCAUGCACCUGUUGAACGGCCACCAGAGGAAAUGCAGAGAAGAAGACUGACACAGUUGUAGUCCCUGAAGUUGGAGGCAGAGAGUUGUAGUGCCUGAAGUUAGAAGCAGUCAGUUGUAGUGCUUGAGCUUAUCAGUUUCAGACUAAUGAAAAAGCUUUGGAAUAUUGAAAAAUGGCGAACUGUGUAAAUGAUACUAACUGACAUAGAAUUCAGAGAGUUUUGAUUCAGGUGUGUAUUCUGGACCUACUUAGAGACAACUGAAUGCUUCAAGGUACGUGUUGGAAAGGCACAAAGAACUAUGACUUAUGUGUUAGGUUUGAUGUGUUCUACAUGGUAUGGUUCUGUCCAUAAAUAGAGAAAUUAGGGCUUUCUUCGGUUAGCACACAUGUAAUCAGAAAUAAGGUGGGCAAUUCAGAGCAAACUUGAAAGCCCUUUUUUCUUUGAUGCUACAACACUUUUGUUUUAGAAGAAAACACUCACUUGUGUUUUUAGAAGAAAAAACUGUAUAUGUUCCAGGGGAAGAAUUUGCAAAAAAUAGUCACUAUAAAAUUAGUGGUACAAGGUUGAUGAUUGCAGAAGACACUUUCAAAGUCGAUGAAAAAUUGUAUCCGACCGUCGUCACAUGUUGACCAAGUGGUUUACUGAAAACUCUGUAGUUCGGACUUGUGAGCCUAAUAGUCAUUAAUCUAAUAAAUAAUUUGUAAAUGGUAGGAUUCUUCUCCUUGAUCAACAUGAGAAAUCCAUUCUUCUUUCGUACUACAACAUGUGUGUUUGGAAAACAAGCAUGCCUUAUAUUGUUCUGUAUUUAUGUGCAGUCUAUCUGCUGUCAUAUUACUAUGAAAAAGAUCAUAUAUGUUCCAUUUGUCGACCUCUAUUCAACUCAUCUAUGCCCAGGAGCUCGGGCAAACCUUUUUUAGUCCAAUAUCUCUGGACUACCAAGGUUUCAAGAGCACCAGGGUUUGUCAUGUUUGUAUACAUUGUUCAUAUUCACCUUGCCCAUGAUAUGAUUUAUAACUGUAACUCUAUAUCUGAGAAUAAAACUGGUUGUUCCAUUGCAAUAUGACAAUUAUGAUUUAUAGCUGUUUAUACUCCAUAGGCCUUCGAGCCAUGGUCUAUGACAGAAUACCAAAGUGAAUUAAUUAGGUAUGUAACUAGAGUAAAUCAUAGCACAUCUCAUUUUCAUGGUUCCGUAGCGUAGCACAGGCACCUUGCUAGUAAUGUCUUUGCAGGUGAGAUCAUUUUGGGAGCAGUAGUUGAUCGGUCGCAAUGUAAUUGUUGUAGGUGCUGGAUUUCCUUGGCUUUGAAGAAAUACCUGUGAAGCACAUAUUGAAGAGGUGGACGAGGGAUGCGAGGGACGUGCAGAAAAGACUAGAUGACCAUCAACUCGAUAAUAACCCGGCAUCUUGUGACAAGGCGAUGGAGCUCCUUAAGUAUACAAUGCACAUUCUUACACCUAUCAAUGCAGAGCAAGAUGGCACGGGACUAGAAGAUUUCACUGCUUUAGCCAGAGCUGCUGUGCGCAAAGGCAGCGACAGUCAGGCUUGCCAUGAUGCUUGAUGUCAACAUCAUUUGAAAGCCAUACAUGAUGAUCAAUUAUGUUUGUAUUGCAGGUUCUUGAUUUCUUGGGUAUAGACAAGAUACCAUCAAAACACAUCUUCGAGAGGUGGACAAAAGGUGCAAGAGAUAUACUUCCACAACACUUGGCACACCUGCAGAAAGAACAGAUUUCAGUUAACUCCAUUACAUUCAGGCAUUCAAAUCUAUAUACCCAUGCUUUGGAGGUCGUCAAACAUGGUGACGCAAACCCAAUUGCAUAUGAUUGUACAAUGGAGCUUCUUAGGGCAGCAAUGGAUAAACUAACGCCUUUAGCUGAUGAUCAUGGUGGACUGGGUUUAGACCAUAGAAUUGAGUUCAACAAGGCAAAAGGUACAUAAUUAAGUGUGUUGCAUGGACCACAGGAUGGAUACAGGAGUGAUGCUGAAGGUAGUGCAUUUGGAAAUUUCAUUGGUUUAGUAGCUCCGAAACGCAAACGGAAAGCCGAUCAACCAACCAACAGCAGAGGCAAGCCUCCAUAUGAUGAUCGCGGUGCAAAGAGCAAAAAAUGGAAGGUGGUGGUACAUCUGGAUACUAUUGUAGGAUAUAGUACAAGCAAACGAACACGCUUCUGCGCUAUAUGUCGUGGACCAGGGCACAAGAGCACGACAUGUCCACAGAGGGGUGACCUCCCUCAAAAGAAAAGGAAAGAAGCUAGGUGCUCAAUCUGCGGAGUGGGAGGGCAUCGAAAGAACACCUGCAACAAUCCCAAGAUUGUCUUACAUGGUGCCGAGAAAGCUGCUCCUGAACAUCCUGUGGAACUGUGAUAAAUGUGUACAAGCAGGAAGCAUCCUGUGUGUAACUGAAUUCUCUGUUUUUCCCUUGUAUGAUAGAGUGCUCUGUAGCCAGAGGUGUGGAAAUAAAUUAUGUACUAUGAGAUUAGUAAUUUGUAUUUCUCUGAA